AGAGGUUGCUGCAGACAUCAUGCCUUAUCUUUACCAAAUGUUUUAUAAGUCAUUCUUUAGUUCUGACUUGAAUAGAGUUACAGAGAGAAGAAAUUGUCUGUCUUUGUAUUCUGUUACAAAAUAGCCACCUCUGUUCUGAUGAUGACUUACAGUAUACUCUUUUAAUUUGUCUUAACACAAAAUGUCUGCCAGUAUAAAUAUACUGACAGUACACAAAUCAUUUA